GUGAGGAAUAUUGGUCAAUGGGCGCAAGCCUGAACCAGCCAUGCCGCGUGCAGGAAGACGGUCCUAUGGAUUGUAAACUGCUUUUAUUUGGGAAUAAACUCCGGUACGUGUACCGGCCUGAAGGUACCAAAUGAAUAAGCACCGGCUAACUCCGUGCCAGCAGCCGCGGUAAUACGGAGGGUGCAAGCGUUAUCCGGAAUCAUUGGGUUUAAAGGGUCCGCAGGCGGUCUUAUAAGUCAGUGGUGAAAGCCUACAGCUCAACUGUAGAACUGCCAUUGAUACUGUAGGACUUGAAUUCGAUCGAAGUGGGCGGAAUGUGACAUGUAGCGGUGAAAUGCUUAGAUAUGUCACAGAACACCGAUAGCGAAGGCAGCUCACUAGGUCUGGAUUAACGCUCAGGGACGAAAGCGUGGGGAGCAAACAGGAUUAGAAACCCCUGUAGUCC
rnacentral:rRNA from 1 species